UCGUGCUGCUAUACUGUAAUCAUAUGAUAGGGACUCGAUCCCCGCUGCAGAAUACCGAUACAUCGGGCGGAUAAACGGAGGAUUUGGGCGGAGGAAAGUUGAAGGUAGACUUGAGCCUAAAAGAAGUGCGUGAAAGUGGUUAAGCUGCCGCCGCAGUAUCGCGUAGGAGAACAGAGCAAACUCCCAAAAAAGGAACUUUCUCAAACUCUGAAGUGAGUCGGAUAGAGGGGGAGACCAUUUGGAAAGGGGCAUAUUCGGCACACAGAGAAGGUAUUUUUCCAAAAGGACAGUCGAAUAAACUGGUGCUGGUGCUGCCGAGACCUCUUUUCCGAAACAGCGGGGCUGGACUUUGAGAGAGGCGGUCGGUCAGCGGGUCGAGGCCGGAUCCCGUUGGGUUCUCGCAUCGUUUAGGGGGGAGAGUUUUUUUUCUCCGCUGCCGAAGUUUUCCCCUUUUUUGAGUAAAGUUCAACGCCAAUUUAGUGCUCAAAAAACAUGGUCGGGGAGACCGAGGUGAAGGAGAGACCCAAGUCCAGCCCGGACUAUCUAAUGCAGCUGAUGAACGACCGGAAGGUGAUGAGUUCCCUUCCCAACUUCAGCGGCAUCUUCACGCAUCUGGAGCGGCUCCUGGAUGAAGAAAUCGGUAGGGUACGCAAGGACAUGUACAAUGACACACUGAAUGGAGGCAUGUUGAAUGGGCGGGACUUCGAGGAGCUUCCUGAGGCGAUCGGCCCUGUGGCUCAGCUGCAGGAGAAGCUCUACGUGCCUGUCAAAGAAUACCCAGACUUUAACUUUGUAGGCAGAAUCCUGGGCCCGCGUGGACUGACGGCCAAACAGCUGGAGGCAGAGACGGGCUGCAAGAUCAUGGUGCGAGGAAAGGGCUCCAUGAGAGACAAGAAGAAGGAGGAGAUGAACAGAGGGAAGCCCAACUGGGAGCAUCUCAGCGAGGACCUCCACGUCCUGAUCACGGUGGAGGAUACACACAACCGCGCCCAGAUCAAGCUACAGCGGGCCACCGCCGAGGUCAAGAAACUCCUCAUCCCCGCUGCUGAGGGGGAGGACAGUCUGAAGAAGAUGCAGUUGAUGGAGCUGGCCAUUCUCAAUGGAACCUACAGAGACGCCAAUGUCAAGAUGCCCACCAUGGCCUUUCCCCUAGCAUCCCCUCAGGCGCCUCGAAUCAUCACAGGCCCGUCGCCCGUCCUGCCUCCCGCCCUGCGGAACCCCGCCCCCGUCACCACGCCAACUAUCAUGCCUCUGAUACGUCAGAUCCAGAGCUCCACCCUCGUGCCGGGCGCCAAUCCUCACCUCGUGCAGCAAGCGCCCGAGUCUGGAAUCAUCUACACGCCCUACGAGUAUCCCUACACACUCACACCCUCCAUACUGGAAUACCCCAUUGACUCUACUGGAGUAUUAGGUAUGGCUUUCCCAACCAAAGGCUAAGCGAUAGCAACCCCUCCUAGCACACACAUGGACUGAGACCCACAUAUGUGCCCUACAUAGCAAACCGAGAGAGUUUGCUCACACUUAGGAUGGCAGAUUCCUUGACAGUCACACUGUAGUAAUUUGUUGUCCAUUCCUUCACUCAUGACUACGUUGAUUUCUUCUCUGUUUUAGCAGACUUGCCGACUAGCGUGGUUUGAUAGCAUAACCUAUUUAACUUUUGGGUUGUUUUUUUUUUUUUGUUGUUUUAAUAGCCCAGCUUCAGCUUGUAAUUUUAACACAUACUAGUGAACACUUAGAUAUUAUAGCGCUGCUGUUUGUGAUUUAGUGUGUGUUCAAACUUAUUUUGAUCAGAGAGCUAUGGAGUGACCUUGACUAUAGCCAAGGUUGGAUCUGCUAUUCAGCCUUAUAGUGAGAAAUUAGUGAAUUGGACUAAUAUUUACUCUUCUGGGAUAAACGUAAGAAGAGUACAGAGGACCACAAAAAAAAAAAAAAGACAAAAAAUUCGAUCUGUUAAGAAUGUGAUCAUUUCCUUUAUUUUCACCCUUAACCUUAAACACUUUGUAAAUGCCUGGUUUCACUGAUGUUGGUGCCAUGGGUGGACUGUUUGAUGCCUCUCUGAUGAGUAACCUGCUGUGUUCUGUUUUGGCGAUGUCAUCGCGCUGUUAGCAGGUGCCAUGACCACUAAGGUACGACGCCACGACAUGAGAAUCCAUCCUUACCAAAGGGUAGUGACCACAGACAGAGCUGCCACGGCAACUAACCCAUGACCCUUGACCUUCUGACCUUUCCGCCCACUGAUGACCCACCCAUCUCUGCCUGCUGGCGUGUUCAUUGGCCCACGGCCUUCGCCACUCCCCCAGCUCAGCCAACCAGAGACCAGCACAUUGGGAACAACCUGGCUGCUUCUGUCUAACCAGCCAACCAGAGGACAGCGAACAUGGGAAUAAACCUCACAGGACCCGCCCAACACCAAGUCCUAACCAAAUGUGCCUUCCUUCCAAAAGCCCAAAGCCAAACUAUCAGUCUAGGAAUUUCGUUUCCAUCCCAUAGUCCAAAUCCCAAUCCAUUCUAGUCGUUGUCAUUCAUAACCAGUAGACUUGACUGGCGAUGUGUCCCACACCAGUCUAGGGAGCACAAACCAGCCCCAGCUGUGCCAAACUGUCUCUCUGCCCUGGUCUGAUGGCCCAGCUCCAACCCCUGAGCCACGCCCGCCCCCCCUCCCUUUCCCCCCAGUCCAUGUGAUGCAAUAAUAAUGACUACAUUAAUAGCAUGAUAACUACACUCAUAAUGAAGAUAAAUGUACUUAUGCAGCGCAGUGACCCUCUAUGAACACUAAACUUAAAGGGAUAUUUUGUAUGAAGUUAUUUUUCUUCAUCAGUCUCGUGUCGCAUCAUGUGGGAAAAGUUUCUACAUCUGUGCUUCAGCUACCUCCAAAAAAAUGGCUUGUUAGCAUUCCUCAUUACUGGUUAGCUCGCAGGUAGCGGUAUCCACUGGCAUGAAUGAGGAACGCUAACAAGCUGCCGUUCAGUUAACUGAAAUAACAGUGCAGAGCCUUUCUCACCAGCAUGUGGCAAGCGUUUAGUAAGGAAAAAUAACACACUGCAGCCCGAUGUGUCAAAGUAUCCCUUUGAGCGGUUUUAGAUAGGUAAAGCAUCAUUGCUACCCAGAUACUGGCAUGUAACCUGCUCAUGUUUACCAGACCUCGCUUCCUGUCCCAGAUUAGACUUUAAAACUAUGUCUACCUUUCUGUAUAACAAUGAGGCGACAUAUAGGCCUAUACAUGCCAUGCCUGUGCUCAAUCUCACACACACACACACACACACACAGAGGGACGAUUGCACUCCUUUGACUAAAUGUAGAGGACUUCCACAAUGAUGCCUUUGCCUUUAUCGCACUACAGUAUUGUAUGAGCUUGAACAACAGUGCCUUUAUUUAUUGAGAAUGAUGGAACAAUGUUACACCUAAAUAUGUUUAUAGUGUGGGUUCAUGCCCAGAGAUAAUGCUAUUAGGUUUUAAUAAUGCAGAAUAAUCAGGUCUGAAUGAAAAGUGUUGCAGCCUAAUUGUCAUCUACAUAUUAUGGCUUUACAUUCAUAACUCUUCUCAAUUCAUAUUUUAGUGCCAAAAAAAAGUGGCUGAACUGAAUUGGAAGUGCAUUGAAGUGUUUAAGCAGCUGCCAUAUCAGUAGAUUUCACUGAGCUCCAGUUACAAUGUCUGAUAUGUUUAUACGAGGACGGGAGGCCUCAUUAGAACAGUGUUAUAUUUUAGUUUAUUUUGUUUGUUGUUUCGAUUAUGGAGAUAGAUUUGUCUGUACGUAUAUUUACUUGUGUAUCCACUAUCUGAGAGCACACACAUACACACACGAUUCGACAGUGCUUUGUCCGAUGGGUGUGUUACUUUUGUAUGAGAGAUCCACGGUUCCUUUAAAGUGCACACAAACCAGCUGAUGCCUUGAUAAAAAAAAAAAAAAAAAUUCAUGGA